AACGAACGCUGGCGGCGUGCUUCAUACAUGCAAGUCGAACGAGAAAGUUCCGCUUCGGUGGGAUGAGUAAAGUGGCGAACGGGUGAGUAACACGUGGAUAACCUGCCUCGAAGUUGGGGACAAGCCCCCGAAAGGGGGUCUAAUACCGAAUGACAUUCCUGAGAGGCAUCUUUUGGGGAUCAAAGGCCCGCAAGGGUCGCUUUGAGAUGGGUCCGCGCUCCAUUAGCUUGUUGGUGAGGUAAAAGCUCACCAAGGCUACGAUGGAUAGCCGGCCUGAGAGGGUGUACGGCCACACUGGGACUGAGAUACGGCCCAGACUCCUACGGGUGG
rnacentral:rRNA from 1 species